GAAACUGGCAGGCUAGAGUCUUGUAGAGGGGGGUAGAAUUCCAGGUGUAGCGGUGAAAUGCGUAGAGAUCUGGAGGAAUACCGGUGGCGAAGGCGGCCCCCUGGACAAAGACUGACGCUCAGGUGCGAAAGCGUGGGGAGCAAACAGGAUUAGAUACCCUGGUAGUCCACGCCGUAAACGAUGUCGAUUUGGAGGUUGUGCCCUUGAGGCGUGGCUUCCGGAGCUAACGCGUUAAAUCGACCGCCUGGGGAGUACGGCCGCAAGGUUAAAACUCAAAUGAAUUGACGGGGGCCCGCACAAGCGGUGGAGCAUGUGGUUUAAUUCGAUGCA
rnacentral:rRNA from 1 species